ensembl:misc_RNA Metazoa_SRP Metazoan signal recognition particle RNA
GCCAGGUGUGGUGGUGCUCACCUGUAGUCCCAGCUACUCGGGAGGCUGAGAUGGAAGGACUGCUUGAGCCCAGGAGUUUGAGGCUGCAGUGAGCUAUGAUCACACCUGUGAAUAGCCAUUGCACUCCAACUUGGGCAACAUAGUGAGACCCUGUCUCAA